rnacentral:tRNA from 1 species
UAAGUAAGAAGCAAUUAUGCAUUUAAUUUCGACUUAAAAGACAGAGUACAAGACUCCUUACUUAU